CCUACGGGUGGCAGCAGUGGGGAAUAUUGCACAAUGGGGGAAACCCUGAUGCAGCGACGCCGCGUGAGUGAAGAAGUAUUUCGGUAUGUAAAGCCCUAUCAGCAGGGAAGAAGAAGGACGGUACCUGACUAAGAAGCGCCGGCUAACUACGUGCCAGCAGCCGCGGUAAGACGUAGGGGGCAAGCUUUAUCCGGAUUUACUUGGUGUAACGGGAGCGUAGACGGCUGUGCAAGUCUGAAGGGAAAGCCCAGGGCUCAACCCUGGGAGGGCUUUGGAAACUGUGGAGCUAGAGUGCUGGAGAGGUAAGUGGAAUUCCUAGGGUAGCGGUGAAAUGCGUAGAUAUUAGGAGGAACUCCAGUGGCGAAGGCGGCUUACUGGACAGUAACUGACGUUGAGGCUCGAAAGCGUGGGGAGCAAACAGGAUUAGAUACCCUGGUAGUC
rnacentral:rRNA from 1 species